GACGAACGCUGGCGGCGUGCUUAACACAUGCAAGUCGAGCGAGGCCCCUCCUUCGGGAGGGUGUCCUAGCGGCGAACGGGUGAGUAACACGUGGGCAACCUGCCCUCAGCUCUGUGAUAACUCCGGGAAACCGGGGCUAUUACCGGAUACGACCUCCACGGGCAUCUGCGGAGGUGGAAAGUUUUUCGGCUGAGGAUGGUCCCGCGGCCUAUCAGCUAGUUGGUGGGUUAGUGGCCCACCAAGGCGGCGACGGGUAGCCGGCCUGAGAGGGCGACCGGCCACACUGGGACUGAGAGACGGACCAGAGUCGAACGGGAGGCAGCAGGGGGGAAUAUGGCGCAAUGGGAGAAAGCCUGACGAAGCGACGCCGCGUGAGGGACGAAGGCCUUCGGGUUGUAAACAGCUUUCAGCAGGGACGAAGCGAAAGUGACGGUACCUGCAGAAGAAGCACCGGCCAACUACGUG
rnacentral:rRNA from 1 species